GUGUUCAUGCCUUUGCAUUUUUCCGAUUUCCAUUUCCAUUGUGACCUCUGAAUUCUCUCCCAUUUGGAUUUCCUCUCCAUAGUUUUCAUUUUUCAUUGUCUUUCUUCCUCAUUUUUGUUUUUUGUUUACGGCUUGGCUCGGCCUGUACGAUGGUAUUUCAAACCAAAAGGUCCGACCUUUUUGUAUUUUAUCAUGAGUUUCUGGUUUUGUGUACGGAGCUUUUCGAUUUUUCAAGCCAAAAGGUUCGACCUUUUUGUAUUUUAUCAUGAGUUUGUUGUUUUGUAUACGAAGCUAAUGGAUUUUUCUUGGGUGGUUGGUUGUUAUAUAGCAGCACAAAAAGAAAGCAAAAGCUUCUACCUUUUUGUUCAUAAACGUUGUUUGAUUUUCGUUUUCGGCUUGGUUCGGCAUGUAUGAUGGUAUUUCAAGCCAAAAGGUUCGAUUUUUUUUCACCACAUUAUCAUGAGUUUGUUGUGUUGUAUACGAAAAUUUUCGAUUUUCUUGGGUGGUUUGUUGUUAUGUACCAUUUUGCUCGGGCUUUGUUGGGUUUUGAUGUUGCAUAUGCGUUAUUUACUACCUUUUGUGGUUUUUUGAUUCAUCGCAACAAGAAAGCUUCAACCUUUGUUCAUUUUUUAUGAUUAGUACAAAAGGUUCGACCUUUUUUUGUUCGGUUUUGAUGUUGCAUGUGCAUCAUUUACUACCUUUUUGUGGUUUUUUGUUUCAUCGCAACAAGAAAGCUUCAACCUUUGUUCAUUUUUUAUGAUUAGUACAAAAGGUUCGACCUUUUUUUGUUCGGUUUUGAUGUUGCAUGUGCAUCAUUUACUACCUUUCUGUGGUUUUUUGUUUCAUCGCAACAAGAAAGCUUCAACCUUUGUUCAUGUUGGUCGAGAAUGACAAAGAAGCCGACAAAGAUGAUUACUGAAGAACGACAGUGAACGGUAUGUUUUCGUUUACCCAGCUUUUCUAUCUUUCUCUUUGGAUUGUUGUCAUGAUCAAUUUUUGUGGGCUUUUGUUGUGUUUUGAUCUUGCGUGGUUUGCAAUGUUUUUUUUCUGAAUGAGUUGCGUUUAAAAAAAAUGUACAUAACUUCUUUUUGAUUUCCCUGAUGUCCAUUGGUUUCAUGUGUUUCAUUUGGUUAUAUAUGUUUAUAUAUUUAUAUGUUUAUAUAUUUAUAUAUCAUCAUCUAUCAUCUUCAUCUAUCAUGAUACAAACAAGGCCCUCACAAUUCUAUCGUGGUUCGAGCUUUUUGUUCACAAACGUUGUUUGUUGUUCAUUUUGCAUCUGCAUCAUUUACUACUUUUUUGUGGUUUUAUCAGUUAUCUGAACAACAAAUGGAUUUUUAGGGUUGUUCAUUUUUUUUUCCUUUACUAGCCAACCAUGUUUUCUUUGUUCAGAUCUGUGUCAAAGAAACCAUUUUUUGUUAUGGUAUUUGUCUUUCUGCAAGCCAAGAAGAAAUGUCUUUUCACUUGCCAUUAAUUGUUUUCGUCAUUUUCUGCGUACCCCUUCAGUUACCAAUGCACGCUUUCUAAUUUUUCACUCUUUUCGAUGUUUCACGCUUUCCAUUGCUACACGCCUUUCCAGUUUUCCAUUUUCCAUUCCGUUGUGCCUUUUGGAUUGUGGGGUUUUGAAUUGUCUCCUGUUUCGAUUUGCUCUCACGCUUUUAUUAAGCCUGGAAUUCGUUUUUUGGUGGGUUAAUUUUCUCUGUCACCCAUUGUUGCCGCUGUAUGUGCAUUUGCAUCAUGAACAACCUUCUUAGCAACUCAUUACAUACACGUUUUUAUUUGGUUGCAUGAUGGUCGAGAACAACAAAAAAGGCAAAAACAAUAAGUGAAGCACAAUAAAGGUCGUUAACACUGUCCCACAAACCUAACUACAGGUUUGUUUUUUAAUUCUCUUUUAAUUGCUUAAAUGUUCAUGUUUGUUCUGCAAAGAUGUCCUAGAAAGAAGGCCUUCACCAUGCUUUGUUGAUGUCCGUUCUGCAAGUUUCCCAACAUGUUUUGUUCAUUUUAUUGUUAUAUGGUGACCACAUUAUUGUUUUCUUCAUGUUUUAGCAAAUUGUUACCUUUUUUUCAUGUUUUGAUGUAUUUCAAGUCAAACGGUUUCAAUUGUAUUCCAUCUUGUUUUUCUAAUGUAUUGCAAGACACGAGCUUACAUUUUGAAAGACCUUCGAUCUCCAUGUUUGCAAUGUUUGCGUUUUGAGCGACUUGCGAGGAAAACCUUCAUAACUUUAUUUUCAUUUCCAUGUUGGCGAUUGUGCAGAUCUGUUUGACUGGAUACAUCACACAACCUUAGACCUUAGCAUAUUUUAUUCUUAUUUUAUCUUUUGGUACACCAUGUAUAUCAUGUACUUACUUUUUUUGGUCUUCUGAUUUGCCGCUCACAUAGGCUUACAUUUUUAUUGUCAAUCCUGUGUUGUAGAUGAAUUUGGUUAAAUUAUUAUUUGAAGUCUCAGUUAUAUUUUUGUUUAAAUUUUGUUGUCUAUAUUAGUGUUCAUGUCAGUUCUUCAUCAUAAUGCCACGUGUGCAUCAAUUCGAACUCAUAUCUUGCAAAGAAAUCCCCAUUUGGAGACUGUCAUAAUUCUAAUUUCAUUUUCUGAUGUAUAUCGGUGUAUGCAUUUUUGUUAGGGUAUAUGAGUUUUCGUUAAUUUACAUUUUCAUGUUGCAUCUGCAUCAUGAACAACCUUCUUAGCAACUCAUUACAUACAUGUUUUAUAUUUGGUUGCAUGAUGGUCGAGAACAACAAAGAAGGCAAAAACGAUAAGUGAAGCACAAUAAAGGUCGUUAACGCUGUCCCACAAACCUAACUACAGGUUGCGAAGUAGGACAGUCACAUCCAAUUUAAAGCUUCAUAUCAAUGUGACUUAGUUUUCAAGGUAGCGUGUAAAAUCUUCAAUAUCCCCACAAUAGAUCCUAUUGGAAUUCGUGUUGUACACGUCUAAUCAUAUUUCACAUGGCAGAAAGGUAAUAAUUGUUUUCACCAUUAAAGCCUCCCAAUUAAUUAAUAUAUUAAUAUAUUAAUAUUUUCACCAUUACCAAAGCUAAUAAUUAUUUUCACCAUUAUAAAGGAAAACCAGUACGAGAAUUGUUAAAGCCUCACAAUUAAUUAAUAUUUUUUAGUAUUUUCACCGUUAUCAAAGCUAAUAAUUGUUUUUACCAUUAUGAAGGAAAACCAGUACGGGAAUUGUUAAAGCCUCCCAAUUAAUUAAUAUUUAUUAGUAUUUUCACCGUUAUCAAUGCUAAUAAUUGUUUUUACCAUUAUGAAGGAAAACCAGUACGGGAAUUGUUAAAGCCUCCUAAUUAUUAAUUAGGAUUUUCAAAAUUAAAAAACGGGUACGAGAAUUGUAAAAGACUCCCGAAUUAAAAGCGGUUCCCAAAUUAAAGUUCAUUCAAUACAAAAUACAAAAACUCAGGCAUAUCAAAUCAUAACCAAUAAUUCUCCUCAUUUGUUCUCCUCAUUUCUUUUCUCAUUUCUCCAACAACAUCACUCAACCCUUAACAAUAUGAGUACCCAAUCAUCAUUCUUCUCUGAUGCGGUAAGUUCUUUAACAUUUUAUUCCUUCUUCUUUUCUUUCUUAUUUAUGUUUAACUUCUUUUCUUUCUUUUAACAUUCCAAUCAUCAAUCUUUAUGUAUAUUUAUGUAUUACUUCAUUAUACGUUGUUUGCAUUUUGGAAUCGAUUUUUGUCCUUUCGUAUAUGUUGCUUUCCUAUUUUGUUUUGAAACUAAUUACAUUCAAUGUUGUGCUAUAGGGCCCAUCAAAUAUGAUGGCAAGAACACGAUUUACAGCAGCAUUUCGUGUUCAGAAGAACAUCAUUGAAGUUCCAUUGAGUUACCAUAGUCAAUGGAGGCCAUAUUACCCAACUUAUGUUUUAUUUGACUACAAUGGAACCAAGUAUUUUAUUAGGGUGCGAAAAUGUGGCACUCGAUGCUUUUUUGCUGAUGGGCUGAAAGAGUUUAGAAGAACACACGACAUUAAUGACAGUGUCAUUAUCUGAUUUUUUGCAGCCUCUAAAGAUACUUCUUUGGAAGUCGACAUCAUGAGACCUAUCCUUAGACAGACAUGUCGAAGGUCGGUUGUUACAACCAGAAGGCACAUCUUUACCGCUGAUGUCACCCAAGACAUGAUCGAACAUACCAACCCUUUGGUUCUUCCAGCAGCAGCUUUAAAUUUUUUGUUUGGAUAAAAAAAAAUUGUUCCUGUUCAGCGUCCAAAUGGCACACGAAACCAAUGGCAGAUCACCGUGCACAAUGGUCUGCCAUCUGUUGCAGAUCCAUGGUUUCAAUACCUCUGUGAAAAUAAUUUAAUGGCAAGAGAUGAAGUCAUGUUCUUCUUUAGGUUUGAUAAACAUGUCUGGGAGGUCAUAUUUAGGAAACAAGUUAUGUGGGAUGAAGACCUCCCGGUUUGAAUCACCAUGCCUAAAGUUCAUGACUUUUUUUUUGUUUUAAUUUUAUUUUAUAUAUAUUUUCAUUAAUGUUGUUAAUCCAAUACCUUAGGGUAUUAAACAAUUUCUUUAAUUUUCUGCUUCACAAUUAAUCACUAUCAAUUUAUUAUGUUCAAUGUA